GCUACAGGUUUCGAUUCCUGAUUCAAUCACAGGCACAAGCUUCCCUGCCCUAUCUCAUUGUCAGGAGCACCUGGUUUUCCAGGAUUUCUGUGCUGCAGCAGGGCAAAUCCUUUUAUAAGGCUAAUGAAACCUCAUCCCUUGGUCUGAAUACAGUUGUGACUUUAUUGCAUAUGACCUGCAGCCCUACAAUAUCAUAGUAGUGCAGGGAAGUGUUGCCAUACCAGCCUAAGAAAGAAUGAAAUAAAUAUAAGGAGGUGAAUAUGCCCUACUCGGGAUACUGGUGUCCCGUUAGAAGAGAAAUCCAGCAUCCAGCCAUUGAUUGCCAUUGCUUCUGCAUGUAUUAUCCAGACCUUGUGCUCUGUGUAAGUUUUGC